CACGUUCUUACUGCCUGCUCAGCCUGCAUUCAUCCCACCCACCACCACCCCCACACACACGCACUCCCACUCCCCCUCCCCCAGGCCACCCCAAUCAUCACCAUGUCCGCCUACGUGUUGUCGACGCCGCUGGAGGCCCGCGUUGCGAAGUGCGCGAGCCUGCGCGCUGCGAACGCGGUGCCCGUUGUCGUGGAGGAGGCGCAGGCGCGCGGCGGCAAGGCACACUUCAGCGCGCUGGCGCGCGAGACGACGGUUGCGCAGCUUGUGGCCGCGGUGCGCGGCUUCCGCGGCGUGGACGCGAAGAAGCCGGUGGCGCUGACGGUUGCCGGCUGCAGCGUGUCGCCGUCGGCGACGCUCGGCGAGCUGCACGACGCGUGCAGGCGAGCGGACGACGGCAUGCUGUACGUCGCCUACACCGCGGAGCGCUGCAUGGGCGCUGCGGUGUGCACGCCGUGCGGCUCGUGCGCGUGGGACGGCAGCACUGCGGACGAUGACGUGAUCAUUUAAGGGUCGUGCUGAGGCGCAGCGUUCGGCCCGGCUGCUGCUGGCGCCGGUGAAGCCGCGUGGGUGUUGACGGGCUAAGCUGCAGGGCUGUUGCCGAUCCGCUCUCUGCGCAUAUGGCGUGGACCUCCGGCUCCCUUUCUCUCCCCCCUCUGCCUCGUCUUGGUGAGGCGCAGCUCCAACAUCCUCUCUGUUGUUUCCUCAUGAUUCUCUUUCCUGUGCCGUGGCCAUGCGUAACCCGCGCACGCUCUUCUCUCCUUUCGUUCCUUCCUCCCCCUCGCAUGCGGUGCCGCAGCAAUGCCGACAGCGGUACAGGCCGCCAUGUCUCCUGUUCUAUUCUACCUGAGGCAGCGCGAUCUCAUUGCUGCUGCUGCUCCGCUGCCAACACGACGCGCGCGGUCUGGACAGAGCCUGUGCGAUUUAGUGGCGUCAAUGGCUCGCCUGCGCUGGAGUUUAUGUGUACAGCUGCUUUUCGUGUUUUCCUCCUAAUCGCGUGUGUGUCGUUUGUGAAUAUGUGUGAAGGUCCUUCUCAUCGCAGCCACCUGCUGCCCCUCCCUCCCCACCUCCCUGCCAAGUACCUCAGCACCGAACGUGCAUGCCUUCUCCGUGCGUGCCCUCAUUUCCUCCGCUCGCUUCGCCACCGGUAUCGCGGACGCUGCCAGCGCGGCGAGGGAUGUGCGCCAGCGCGUGUGUUGCGAGUAUAGCCAACAGUGCACCACCUACCCCAUCCCAUCACCGCAGUAUCGCUCUCUCCGUAUAUGCCCGUUGUCGCUCCGCGUACUCGUGUUCCCCUGCCCUCAACUGAAUGCCCUGGGCCAGCACCGGCUCCCACGCCGCUCCUCUCGCUCCGGUCCGCCCACCCGCCCAUCCUCUCUCACACGCCGUCACUUCCGCCUGCACUGUCGCCAGUCUCUCCACAAUCCCUCUCUCUCUCUCUCUGACGCCCCGACCCUCGCACAG
rnacentral:misc_RNA from 1 species